AUACGUAGGUGGCAAGCGUUGUCCGGAAUUACUGGGUGUAAAGGGCGUGUAGGCGGGGAUGCAAGUCAGAUGUGAAAUUCCGGGGCUCAACCCCGGCACUGCAUCUGAAACUGUGUCUCUUGAGUGCUGGAGAGGAAAGCGGAAUUCCUAGUGUAGCGGUGAAAUGCGUAGAUAUUAGGAGGAACACCAGUGGCGAAGGCGGCUUUCUGGACAGUAACUGACGCUGAGGCGCGAAAGCGUGGGUAGCGAACAGGAUUAGAUACCCUGGUAGUCCACGCCGUAAACGAUGGAUACUAGGUGUAGGAGGUAUCGACCCCUUCUGUGCCGGAGUUAACACAAUAAGUAUCCCACCUGGGGAGUACGGCCGCAAGGUUGAAACUUAAAGGAAUUGACGGGG
rnacentral:rRNA from 1 species